CCAUAGAGUGGAUGUGUCAGACUCUGCUCCUCCAGCAUUAAAAGGGUUUCAUCCUCUGUGUUUGGACACUGCAGGGUCCAAAGUCCAAAGGGACUAAAGAGAAAGUGUUUUUUGAACAUCGUGAAAAACCCACUAUGAUAAAAAAUCAUGUUUUUUUUUGUUUUUAACAUGUUCUUUUGGCAUUUUUCUGAUGAAGCAGGCCAAAUACGAAGACAUUCAAGCUUAUUAUUGAAUUUCUGAGUAUUUUGUUAUUCACAUCGUUGUAAAUCAGGGGAAAACUUUAAAAAAGUGCAGUUGAAAAAGAUUGUAACUGUGACGUAGAACCUAAGCUGGACUUCCUGCUCCGCUCCAUUCUGAUGCAUCCACCUGCAGACGACUAGAAUACAGACUACAUCUUCUUCUUCCACAUCUGGGCAGUUCUCUGACUCUUAACUGAGAAACUGCAUGCGGGACUCAACUUUUUAUUGUUGUUAGUUUUGGCCUCCUUUCUACUGAGUUGUUUUGUUUUGAUGUUUGUCGUUAUUACUGAGGAAAACCUUCAGCAUUUUGCUGAUACACCCUUAAGUCACAAAUUCAGCACAAAACGCCACAGAAACAGACAAGGUCAGUGGAAAUAAUGAAGAAAGGCUUUUCUGGAUCCUUAUUAACAGUUGAAUUCUCUUCAAAGUAAAAGUCUUGAACUCUUUUUCUUUAGAUGAUUCUAUUCUAAUCUUUCUGAAACCAGUCCUGCUUUUUUGGUCCAUAUUUUCCUGUUGUUUUUUGUAAUAAAUAAUCUUGCUUUAACUGUGUUCCAUAACAGACAGCUUGUUUGUGUUAAGCUCUGUGUGCCAUUGCUAUUCUUUGAAUUCUCAUGGAAAACUGUAAUAAAUAUAUUACAUAACUUUAAGUCAUUUCUGCCCUACUCUUUGCUUCUCUUGGGUUUUCAGCUUUAGGGUUGUCUUUUCAGGAGAAUCUAAAGACAUUCUGUUCUAAAAUGCCACCUAUAGAUAGAGCAGGUGAAGGUAUGAAAACACCUGGAGAAACAGAAACAGUUUGAGUGAUAUUUUUAAAGAAGCCAAACAAUAGAUCUGACAGGUGGCAUGGGAGCAACACCCAUACAACACAACGAAGGCAUCAAGUCCAGCCAGUUUCAGAUUCCAUUCCUUACAGCUCUCUUUAGAAAGAAGAAAUGUUCAAAUUGAUAUUAUAAAGGAGUACAAAGGUGUGUGGAAACUUUUUAACCCAUAACAUUUUGUGAAAGAAGAUUCACCACCAACAAUACAGAUGCAUUUUUAAUUAGAGUAUGAGAAAGUUUUCUUGAUCAUAAUUCUUUCAUCCAUCCAUCCAUCUUCCUCUGCUUAUCCGGGACCGGGUCGCAGGGGCAGCAGUGUAAGCAAAGAUACCCAGACUUUCCUCGCCCCAUCCACUUCCUGUAGGUCGUGAACAAGACCCCAAGAUACAUUUUUCAUAAUUCAAUGUGUACAGUAUACUGUUUCUUGGUACUGCCCUACCUCCCCUAAUGUAAUGAAGUAGGGGGGAAUAUUUAUUAAUCUUCACUACAUACAUUAUACAUGUUACAAGAAUGAGCAGUCCAGAUCAGUGUCAAAGUAGGACACUUUUAAGAUACCUUUUAUACAGUUGGAACGAUUAAAACUACAUGAUAAUGUAAAAUCUAAAAUUAUACUAACAUCAUACAGCAGAACGAAGGCAUCAAGUCCAGCCAGUUUCAGACUCCAAUCAUUCCAGCUCUUUAGAAUUAUAUAUACCAGCGUAUGUAAAGAUAAUUAUGUAGACAUUAAAAAAGAGUCCAGUGGGUAGUUGAAAGAUUCCCCAGAGAGUUUGGUCCAUAGUGACACGAUAGCAUCACGCAGUUACACUUGAGAUUACAGAUACAUAUUUAAUUAAAGUAGGUAUGUAUAUAAUGUUACUCUUAUUUAUAAUCAAAAAACUCAAACUGAACUUUAAAGUUUUUAUUACUUAAUUUCUAUCUCUAUCACUAAUGUUAUCACUAUUUAAUUUGAGGAAUGGAAGAGAUGGAAGAUAUGAUCUAAGGGGAGGAGGUGAAAAAUAAAAUCAGUGGCCUCAGAUCAAAUGCUCGGGCACACUUGAAGGGAACUGUGGGGGAAGUGAAUGUUUUCAGCGGAAUAAACUGAGUCUGGCCUCAGAGAUAAGAGUGGAACCAGUUGAGAGGUAAGUUUGUGAUAACGAUGGUGCAUGGCAAGUCUUGGUUGUCCUGUUUUCUACUUUUUUCGGGUUCUCACCUUCAAGUUGUCUUUUUUAACCAUUGUGCUAUCUUAGAUGACCCCACCCUUACAUUGACGUGUUAUUCCUACCAUGACAAAGGUGGAUAAAGGUGGAAAGAUUUCAUGUAAUCCAUGGACACCAGUGAAGAUCACAAAUCAUUGAAGAAAAAUGGUUCAGUUAUGUAUCAUUAAUAUAGUUAUUCUAUAACUAAAACUGAAAAACUGCACGCCAGGUUCAACUUUUUAUUGUUAGUUUUAACCUCCUGUUUAUUGAGUUGUUCUUUUUUGAUGUUGGUUGAGGAAAACCUGCCUUUUGCAGAUGGACAGUGAAGUCACAAAGGCAGCACAAAACAUUCCACGUCGCCACAACAACCGACACAGUCGGUUGAAAUACGAUAACAUUACUUUGGCCUAUGGCUGGACUACUGGUGAACUUACCCCACCUUGUGGCGAGACUGAUGAACUACAUCCUCAUUGUUCUGUCAACGCCUGCUGGUCACUGAACAAAAGCAAAAUCAAUAAAUAAGCCACAUGAAAUGACAUGGAGAGCCACAUUUGGACCCCGGGCCUUGAGUUUGACACAUGUGCACUAGACAGUGCGCUGAGCCUAAGCCUGUGGACAUUGUUUUCUGCUGCCACGUCUUGGAUAUUUGUCAAUUCCACUUUUUUGUCUAACUACGGUACUUGUGGUCUGUCACCGGGAUCGGUUCAUGUCUGGGUCAGAUCAACAUUCAGACGUGUGUGUGAGCUAGCCUGCCUGCUGGCUUCUCGCCAAGUCUACAACAAUGUGGAGUAACUCUGCGUGGAUUCUACUUGCCUGGACCAUCCUCUCUCUGGUCAAGCAUCCACUGACAGCUAUCGCUGCCCUCGACUUCUUGAACUCCAUCCGACUCCACUUGAUCAACCGGCCCCCACAACCAAAUAAGGAUUUUAUCCCUGAUUUUUCAACUCACCUCUCCACACUUUCACCCAACCUAUUAUUUUUAGGCAAUUUGAAAAUUCACAUGGACAAUGUCAGCAACACCCUCACUAAAGAUUUUCCAUCCUUUCUGGACAGCUUUGAUCGCCAUCAACGUAUCAACUACACAAAAUGGGCUAUAUUGUGUUGUGUUUUAAUGAGAAAAUAAUAGAUAUUUUUUCCCCAAAUUGAAUCCACACAACCUCAAAACAGUUUGACAAUAAUAAACAUCAGAAACGUUUUGCUGUAGACUCUUUUUAUUUUGAUUUAAUUUUUUGAUUUCGAAACAUUUGAGUGAAAAUGUCAAAAGUGAGUUGAUUGUUAUUUACACUCAAAAAGAGAAAAUGUCAGCAAUGACAGAGCUUGGUGUCAGAACAAAUGUUGAUAACAGGUGUUGACACACAACAUCCAUUCUUUAACAUUGCGGUCAAAAAAAA